ensembl:lncRNA
CCUGGUUUUAUGCCCCUGCUACCAUGCCUCCCUUCCCAUACCCCCUGGGUAUCCACCCUACCCCAGCGCCCCACCACAUUACUCUAAUAGCACAGCAGCCUUAAGCCAGACAUACGCAUACACCCAGGCUGCUAGCAACCUCCAGCUCUCAUCUACUCAGCCUGCCAGUAACCACCAGUUAACAUCUAUCCCACUCCCAUACAACCAGCCCACUGGCAACCUGCUCCAGCUCAUGAACCUCCAACUCCCAAACAGCAAGCCCGCUAGCACCCGCCAGCUUACAUACAUCCAGCCAGCUAACAACCCCCAGGGCAAAUCUACCCAGCCUGGUGGGACCCGCCAGCUUACAUACUUCCAGCCCGCUAGCAACCCCCAGGUCACAUCUACCAAGCACGCUAGCACCCGCCAACUUACAUACAUCCAGACUGCUAGCAACCCCAGGUCACACCUACCCAGCCCGAUAGUGAACUCAAGUUCACAAGCACGGCUGUACUGACGCCAGCAGUGAAAGUGUUGACCCCAGGCCCCAUCUCCUUGAGCAAGGCCCAACAACUGAAGGAGCCAUCACCCCCCCGCUGUCUGCAUUACGUUAAGACGGUGGUGCCCAAGGGCAGCAAACGCCGCAUGAGACGGUCAAGAGUCACGAGAAACAGGCAGGCGCUUGAAGAAAGGUGUAAUAAAUACAAGAAAGAGGUUCUGAGAAAGAGGAGAAUAUAUCGAGAUCUCCAAGGGAAGAGAGAUGGACUGAUUGCAAGAGCUGCAGCGAAAUUGGCCGCUCAGUUGGCGGCAAAGUACCCCAGGGCCCUCUCUGAAGCGGAGGCAGAGAGCGAUGUUGAAGGGGAGAAAAAAACAAUGCCCGAAGAAGCGAUUAAGGGGAAACUAAAGAAGAAGCUUGAAGAGUUCAACCUGAAGAUGAAGCGGAAAUCGACGCAACAAACACCAACAUAAACUCAAAGGCAGUUUGUUAUCUUCACUUGGCAUCAUGAGCUCAUCUCCCACUAGAAUAGAACCUGCUGCUGACCCAUCUAGACCCUAUGGACAUCAGUUGGCUUACAUUGUUACCUAUCAACCAUUUAUAGAUUUGUAAUGACACUAGCAAAGGAUUUGUUAUCUUUGAGCCACAUCCUUUAAGGCUACAUAGUGAAGUUUUUUUUUUCAGAUUGGGUUUAUCUGUAGUAGCAUGGGUACGGUCAGGGGCUUUUCUUGACAACGUGAUCUGACUAGCAAAAAUGAUUGCCUAUAUAGGCUUUUCGCUUUAAUUAGGUCCUGGAUAUUUUCCUAGGCUGGUCAUUUGGUCGGGAAAAACUCUUAACCCAUUUCUGUGGAUCCUCUUUCACUGUGUAUAUAUACAAAAUAAAGAGUUAUUUUAUUUCUUUUUCUCAAAAAGUUACUUCAAUAUGGAAGUCAUGCUGAUGCUCUAAACUAUGUCACACUCCGUCCUGUUGGCGGCAGUAUUAUAAUUUUAAUCAUAAGAAG